rnacentral:lncRNA from 1 species
AUUAGGAUUUAGAGUGACCUGCCAUGCGAGCGCACCCAACAAGGCAAAGGUCGAGUUCAAUGUUACCACAAAUACAUGAAAAUACAUAUUGAUCGAAAAUACAGCACGAAAGAACCGAUCCUAUCAUCUUUUAUCCAUGAGACUAAAUCAUCUAGAACCAGCCUUUUCAGCUUGCAUUUUCAAGAAAAAGAUCCAAAUCCAAAGAUUAUUAGAGACGACAUCAGUUUGAUCUAAUUCAUUGACCACGUACACCACAAUAAUCGAACAUAAAGAAAUCAAGAGACGUAGACAAUAUCAUCACAUCAAAAAUAGAUGAAACCAAAACCUGAAAAAAAAAUCAAAAUAAUAAUCAACGAGGUUAUCAACACAAGAAUCGACGUCAGUCGACACAAGAUCUGAGAAACUAAGGAUCGAUAUAAACAGAUCUGAAAAAAAAAGUAAUCAAGAAAGAAGAAAAAAAAGAGUUCAGAAUACAGAUUUGUAAUCCCAAAAGUACUGAUAAAUAACUUAUGCAAUCACAAAUAAGCAAUACAGAUUUACUGUAAUCACAAAUAAUCGCCAGUAAAAAAAAUUGAUAAGUAAAUGAAAUCACCAAUCAAAAGAUGGACGAAAGAAAGAAAAAAAUAAAAUCACUGACAUGUAAUCAACCACAUCAAAUUACCUGUAGUUUUUAAGAAACCAUAAAAUAAAAGAAAACAAAAAAAAAUGUAAAACUCUAACCUGAACAGAUCUGUAAAGAUCUUCCCUCGCAACAAAUCCGCAAAAAAACACUGUUAAAAAAUAUGUAAUAACAAGUCUGUGCGGAAGAUCCCAAAUCUGUAAUAACAAAUCUGUAAUAUCCCAAAUCCGUGCAAUAAUCCCAGAUCCGUGCGGAAGAUCUGUAGUCACAAAAGAUCCCAAAUCCAUGCAGAGUAAGACAGAUCGUGGAAGCAAUAGCAAUCUGUGCAAUCGCGGAGGAACAUUACCAUCGCAGAAGAUUUCGACAAUCGACAAUUGACAGAUCUUGGCAAUCAACAAUUAACAGACGAUCGCGGAAGAUCUCAUGACAGGCAAUUAACGAUAAUUGCAAAUCGCAAUCGGAAGACAAGUAAAUUAUAGACGACAAAUCGCAAAUGUAAAUGUAAAAAAUCACUAACCUGGAAGACGAUCGCACAAGCUCUCGUGGAAGACGAUCGCAGAAGAGACGCUUGCGGAAGGAUCGCCGAGAGAUCGCAGAAGGAAUUUCCGUGAAUUUUGGGAGGAGAAAAAAAAAAAAAAAAAAACCAGUGAAGUAAAGGAUGUGAUACCAUCUAAGAAGAGCUUAACACUGAUUAUCAUUGAAUCAAAGAUUAACGAAUUACAAAUGUCAAAUAUCCUUUUAUAAUAUCAAGAGUUUAACUACCCAAUUACUAACUAACCUAUUACACGUUAACUACACUAACUAUUGAUGAUAUAACUUCUAAUAACGGUUGUGAACAAAAAGAAAGGAGUGGAUUCUUAAAUAAUGAAAUUGUGAAUUUAAUGGAUGGUUGAUAUGUAACAAAAAAAAAAAAAGACCAAAUAUAAAUUUUUGGGUUGUUAACACCAAGUUGAAAUCUAUGCCGUAGGGAUCACUUGUUAAUUUUCUACCGCGCGUUUUCUGGUAUUUGUUACGCACUACCUAAAUAAGUUUCAAUUUGGACCCUAACUAAUUGGAAUUAAAUAGUGUGACCGUUGACUUUAUUCUUAAGGCUUAAAUAUUGAUCCAUUUAAAUUGUUAAAAACUCAAGCGGUGAUUUUUACAUACACAACCCUUUAAUUGUCGUAUUGUUUGUUUCUAUAUUUUGAGGGUCAAUUUUGAAAUUACGUCUCUCUACUAUUUCUUUAAUUGGAUCCUUUAGUUUUCCCCUUUCUUUAUCAUUCAGUUUUAUCCCUGGAUUAGCUAGCUGGGGUUCAACAAGGUUUACUAUGCAUCAUCUAGAAUCUAAUGUGAUAUUCUAAUAGUAUUGUCCUUAUGAUAUUGUCUGAUGUUUAGGUACUUUUAUUGAUGUUUUAACCCUAACCCUGAUGUGUUUGAUAUUCUAACGCAUCUCAAUUUCUAAUGUAUUUCAUAUUUUCUCUGAAGAAAAAGAUAUUGUGUUUGUUAUCUUAAGAAUUAGGAUAUCAGACAUGAAUCAAAAUUCAACAAAAUCUGACUGAAGAUAUAAUUCAAACACAGGCACUUAAAUUUUUAAGUUAUUCCAUAAAUAAAAAUAUAAUUAAGAUUAUGAAUAAAUCAUUUUAUAAAACCUAGCUUAAUCCGGGAUGGGGAACGACAAUGGUUAGGCAGAGUUAAAAAAACAUGUUUUGAAUCUAUUCAUCACAAGAAUAAACCAACUGAAUCAUUUUAAUGGUUAAUAACUUAUAAUAAUAUACAAAAUAGUACAACAAAUAAAAUUAAAAUUAAGAAAUUUCAGCUCUAUAUUUAACCGAUCUGCUGAAAACCUAUUCAUCAUCUAAAAAUUAAAAUUGAUAAUUCGUUCUUCAAUCUGAAAAUUUGAAAAACCAAGAAUAUAGGUAUAACAGACAAUAUAUAUAAAACAAUAUAAACCUCAAACCUAUUACAAAUUUCAUAACUACCAACAAAAUAUAGAAGAAUUAUAUUUUAAAUUAUCAUCUUACUAUUCAUAAAUAACAAUAUUAUAAGAUUUCAAAAAUGAAUUAUAAAUAAAUAAAACAUAAAAAUGGAUAACUUGAAAACUGACCAACGACGUAUGUGACACUAAUUUUAAAAGUGAAACAUAUAUAUGAUUUUGAAAUUAAAGAAUAAUUUAGAUAUGCGAAUUUGUGAUGGAUAAAUUAAUGGGUACUUCAAGAUAAUUCGAACGAACGGAUUAACAGAUUUAAUCAACGAAAGACGAUCCAAUGAUUUGAACGCAAUAGAAAUAAAUAAUAAAACAAAGAAACACCAAGACCACGAAGAGAAAGACCCAGGGAUAUAAAAAAACUCCCUGUACCAUCUCUUCUCCAAACCAAAAAAACUUUUUUUAUUAGGAUUUAGAGUGACCUGCCAUGCCAGCGCACCCAACAAGGCAAAGGUCGAGUUCAAUGUUACCACAAAUACAUGAAAAUACAUAUUGAUCGAAAAUACAGCACGAAAGAACCGAUCCUAUCAUCUUUUAUCCAUGAGACUAAAUCAUCUAGAACCAGCCUUUUCAGCUUGCAUUUUCAAGAAAAAGAUCCAAAUCCAAAGAUUAUUAGAGACGACAUCAGUUUGAUCUAAUUCAUUGACCACGUACACCACAAUAAUCGAACAUAAAGAAAUCAAGAGACGUAGACAAUAUCA